GACAGAGGGGGCGAGCGUUGUCCGGAGUCACUGGGCGUAAAGCGCGCGCAGGCGGCAACCUAAGUGUCGUGUGAAAGCCCCCGGCUCAACCGGGGGAGGCCAUGGCAAACUGGGUCGCUCGAGCUGCGGAGAGGCCCCUCGAAUUGCAGGUGUAGCGGUGAAAUGCGUAGAGAUCGGCAGGAAGACCAAGGGGGAAGCCAGGGGGCUGGCCGCAGGCUGACGCUGAGGCGAGACAGCGUGGGGAGCAAACCGG
rnacentral:rRNA from 1 species